rnacentral:tRNA from 1 species
GGAAGAAUGGCUGAGCGGUCUAUAGCGGCGGUUUGCUAAAUCGUAAAAGGGUAUGCCCCUUUCAGGAGUUCGAAUCUCCUUUCUUCCA